rnacentral:pre_miRNA from 1 species
AAUGUACUCCCUCCGUCCGGAAAUACUUGUCAUUGAAAUGGAUGUAUCUAGAUGUAUUUUAGUUCUAGAUACAUCCAUUUUGGUGACAAGUAAUUCUGGACGGAGGGAGUAGUAC